GUUCUUACAUCCAGGUUCCACUCUCACAGGGUUCUUACAUCCAGGUUCCACUCUCACAAGGUUCUUACAUCCAGGUUCCACUCUCACAAGGUUCUUACAUCCAGGUUCCACUCUCACAAGGUUCUUACAUCCAGGUUCCACUCUCCCAGGGUUCUUACAUAUAGGUUCCACUCUCACAAGGUUCUUGCAUCCAGGUUCCACUCUCACAGGGUUCUUACAUCCAGGUUCCACUCUCACAAGGUUCUUACAUCCAGGUUCCACUCUCGCAGGGUUCUUACAUCCAGGUUCCACUCUCACAAGAUGUCUUUUUACUGCCAACAAUCAGCCCGUGGAUGGAUCAUGUUGGACAACAUGAAGUGUAGAACAUGUGCCUUACUAAGCACCUCUGUGAAUGUAGUCAGUCAUAAAGUCUGCUCUUAUUUGAAUAAAGAACCUCGGUGUGCACUUGUUA